GCGGGGCUGACUGGUGCUGGAGACCUCAUGACAGUCAUCGCUGGUACCACGGUUAGUUGAAAUGACUUCCGCUUCCUCUUGGCGCGGUGCAGAUCUGACUGCCAUCAAGGCCAGUGACAUCUUCGGCCAAGGCAGUAGAGUCAGUUCAGUUAGUGCUACCAGCUUCAGUUUUAACAUGCCCCUAAGAAUCAAGUUCCA